UACGUAGGGGGCAAGCGUUGUCCGGAAUCAUUGGGCGUAAAGCGCGUGUAGGCGGUUCGUAAAGUCGGCUGUGAAAGCCCUGGGCUUAACCCAGGAAGUGCAUUCGAAACUCACGAACUUGAGUCCCGGAGAGGAAGGCGGAAUUCUCGGUGUAGAGGUGAAAUUCGUAGAUAUCGAGAGGAACAUCUGUGGCGAAGGCGGCCUUCUGGACGGUGACUGACGCUGAGACGCGAAAGCGUGGGGAGCAAACAGG
rnacentral:rRNA from 1 species